UUAGUUGCUUCGGCGGGCCCGCCAUUCAUGGCCGCCGGGGGCUCUCAGCCCCGGGCCCGCGCCCGCCGGAGACACCACGAACUCUGUCUGAUCUAGUGAAGUCUGAGUUGAUUGUAUCGCAAUCAGUUAAAACUUUCAACAAUGGAUCUCUUGGUUCCGGCAUCGAUGAAGAACGCAGCGAAAUGCGAUAACUAGUGUGAAUUGCAGAAUUCCGUGAAUCAUCGAGUCUUUGAACGCACAUUGCGCCCCCUGGUAUUCCGGGGGGCAUGCCUGUCCGAGCGUCAUUGCUGCCCAUCAAGCACGGCUUGUGUGUUGGGUCGUCGUCCCCUCUCCGGGGGGGACGGGCCCCAAAGGCAGCGGCGGCACCGCGUCCGAUCCUCGAGCGUAUGGGGCUUUGUCACCCGCUCUGUAGGCCCGGCCGGCGCUUGCCGAACGCAAAUCAAUCUUUUUCCAGGUUGACCUCGGAUCAGGUAGGGAUACCCGCUGAACUUAAGCAUAUCAUAGC
rnacentral:rRNA from 1 species